rnacentral:tRNA from 1 species
GAGAAGUGUCCGAGUGGUUUAAGGUGUCGGCCUCGAAAACCGUUGUGGGGGAAACUCCACCGAGGGUUCGAAUCCCUCCUUCUCC